CUAUAAAUCAAACUCUUUUUUUUUUUGUUAUAAAUAAACAGUGUCCUUUAAAACCAAUUCACAUUCAUCUUAAUCUCUCUUUCUCUUCAAAGCAAUUCUUGUCUCAAAGAUGGCCAGACAACCUGCAAGGACAUGGACAACCACAACAACUACCAAUUACAAUGCGAUGAUAAUUCACGCACUGAAUACAUUAGAGCAAUAUAAUCCCCAUGGCUCAACUAUUGCACAGGUUACACAUCAAAUCCGGCUGUUAUAUUACAUUAGAGCGAUAUAAUCCCCGUGGCUCAACUAUUACACAGGUUGCACAUCAAAUCCGGCUGUUAUAUGGUAAUUCACCUGGUUCUCAAACCAGGCUGUUAUUUGAUAAUUUACCAGACUCGCACGCAUUACAAGUGGAGACGGAGCUGGAAAAAAUGGUUAGAAGGAGAUACGCCAAAACCAGAGGAGGUGGAGGAUACUGACCUCGAGGACCAGAAAUACUACCACAUAGGAUAAAUUAUGAACUACUUCGAGACUUGCACGACGUUCUCAUCGAUGGCCUUGUUGUCUGGAGCCCAACCUCGUAGAGGAGCAAUAAAGGUUUGGAUGAAAAUUGGUCCCAUUGUAGGGUUAAAUUGUUGAGAUCUACUUCAGCGAAAUCAUGAAGAUUGGUAUGUUAAAGUCCCUGGUCUUUGUAUUUGAGAGCGGUAUAACUAUUGAUGGCUCUUGAUUCAAAAGAGUCACCUCUCCAUCUUCAAGUACUGAAAUCUGACCUAACGGGUUCUUGGAAAUGAAAUCAGGGCGUUUGUGUGCUUCGACACUAAGAUCGACAACACAAAUCUCAUAAUCUUUGUUUUUCUCUUGGUGGCAAGCCAUCACACGAGCAGUAUUUGUUGCAAAAGGUUCUCCAUAUACAGCUUCAGGGGUGCCACCAGUAGUAGUAUUUAUUUUUUAAAGAGUACGAGGUACUGUAUAUAUAUUUCUGAGUGGGACGUACAAAAAAAUAAGAAGAAAUUGACUGUUUUAAGUGUAGAGAGGAGAUGAAAGUGUUGAUCGUGGAUUUCUAUU